rnacentral:rRNA from 1 species
AGGCUGCAACCCGCCCUGCAUGAAGUCGGAAUUGCUAGUAAUCGCGGAUCAGCAUGCCGCGGUGAAUACGUUCCCGGGUCUUGUACACACCGCCCGUCACACCAUGGGAGUCAGCAACGCCCGAAGUCAGUGACCUAACCGAAAGGGAGGAGCUGCCGAAGGCGGGGCCGGUAACUGGGGUGAAGUCGUAACAAGGUAAC